AUCCCUAACUUCUUGUUGUAAGUUUUAAAAUUUCAUUUUUCAUUUAAUACUUAAUACCAUAAGAGUUAUUUGAAAAAUCUACAUUCUUCAUAUAUAGGACGUACACAACACAGAAGAAGAUAUGGCAAAGAUUUCAAUCAUAUUUACCUUUGUAGUGGUCAUGCUCAGUCUAAUGGCUACCAAUAAUGGAUUUGGUGUUCUCUCAAGCAGAGUAACAAGUGAGACAGAGUCAUCAAAAUCAAAGAGAUGCCACAAUGAUUAUGAGUGCUACCGUAUUCUACCUAGCUGUGGAGGACUUCCUCAUUGCAACGAGGGUCAAUGCAUGUGUAUAUACAAAUAAUAAUAAUGUUUAAACAUACAAGACAUUAUUAUUAUGAGCAAAUAAAAUGUUUAAUCAUUGCAAAUGCUUAAUUAAAUAAGACAAGCAUGCUCAAGAUGUACAAUUGUACACUGCUGCUUGUGCUCUAUCAUAUUUUUGUACUAUCAAUAAACCUAAUAAGCAAUGGUUAAUUCUCAAUAAAUUUAAUUUGAUGGAAA